GGGCAAAGGGCAAAGGACAGGGGCGAGAUGUGCUCGGAUUCUGCAUCUGGGAAGACUUCUCUGACUUCACGGCAACGCGGAGAAUGUGUCGGAACAGGGAAGAAAAUGGGGCUGAUGGCCCCAGGACUCCUGGAAGAUGAUAUGUGGCAAUAACUGUCACCCAGAGCCACCAAAGCACUUCACCUGCCCUGCCUCGUAGCGCUUCUGCCGGGUGUCACUGCUUUUUGUAUGUUAAUUAGACUGGGGGUUCCCCGAGAGUGGCUUGUAUCUCCGUGACCCCUGUGUCUCCGCCGGGGCCCUGCAGUGUCUGCUACACCGGAGCAGCAAAAUAAAUGGGGCUGGUUGAAGGAGUAAGCUAAGGCCAGCUAACUGCUCUCAAGCGCCUUUAAUUAUGGUCUUUGGUGCCCUCUUACCGCUUCAUCUUAUUUAUCACUCUUUUCCUGAGACCUUCUAAGAUAGAAUGCAGACACGAACAUGUGUGCAUGCACACACACGCACGCUGGCUUAAUAUAUGCACAGUGGAAGCUGAAUACAACAUCUCGCUGGGACACUUCCACACUUGUUAAGACAGUUCCCAAAACACAUUAAAAAAUGAUGGAUUGUGCCGUCCCGGCUCCUUGUUCAUUUUAGCACGAUAGAAUUUCUUGAUAGUGUCUGAUUUCAGAGCACACCUGUAGACCUAGUGACAGCCUGCGCUCCUGGGUGGGUUUGGAAAAGCGCUUAUUUGUUCUGAAGCUAAAAUUAAACUGCAAGUUUUUACAUGUUGUUUAGCGGCAGCAGCUGAUGCAAAUCUUUGUCAACACGGAACUUUUCACACCUCAGGUUUCAACUACAGUAAGUGGAUUACUAUGUAAGACUGGCAUUGGGUUUUUGGCACUGAAAAUGAAUGAACUAGCUUGGAGAAAUUAAAAGUCAUGCUCUUUAUCUUCCUUUGAGUUACAAUCUUUUAAUUUUAAGAAUUUUCAGAAUUUGGGCCACUUUUGUUCUUUCGUAGCACUUUUGAGUUUCCUCGUUCCAGCCAGGACGCCUGGACGGAAAAGGGAAGCGCCGAGUGCUUGUGUUGGUGAGGCGAUCGUCUUUCCUGGAGAGGGAAGUGGCCUUGUCUGGAGUCUGAAACGCUAAUCUCUCCACGCUCUAGUUUGCCGUGCUG
rnacentral:lncRNA from 1 species